rnacentral:rRNA from 1 species
GGCGACGACGGGUAGCCGGCCUGAGAGGGCGACCGGCCACACUGGGACUGAGACACGGCCCAGACUCCUACGGGAGGCAGCAGUGGGGAAUAUUGCACAAUGGGCGCAAGCCUGAUGCAGCGACGCCGCGUGAGGGAUGACGGCCUUCGGGUUGUAAACCUCUUUCACCAGGGACGAAGCGAAAGUGACGGUACCUGGAGAAGAAGCACCGGCCAACUACGUGCCAGCAGCCGCGGUAAUACGUAGGGUGCGAGCGUUGUCCGGAAUUACUGGGCGUAAAGAGUUCGUAGGCGGUUUGUCGCGUCGUUCGUGAAAACUUGGGGCUUAACUCCGAGCGUGCGGGCGAUACGGGCAGACUUGAGUACUACAGGGGAGACUGGAAUUCCUGGUGUAGCGGUGAAAUGCGCAGAUAUCAGGAGGAACACCGGUGGCGAAGGCGGGUCUCUGGGUAGUAACUGACGCUGAGGAACGAAAGCGUGGGUAGCGAACAGGAUUAGAUACCCUGGUAGUCCACGCUGUAAACGGUGGGUACUAGGUGUGGGUUCCUUUUCACGGGAUCCGUGCCGUAGCUAACGCAUUAAGUACCCCGCC